AUUGCAAGCCGCCUUAUCGCUCCGCGCAUCUUGUGCGGGGAGGAAAGUCCGGACAGCACAGAGCACCGUACUUCCUAACGGGAAGGCUCCGGGUAACACCGGGGACAGAUAGUGCCACAGAAAACAUACCGCCCCGACUUGCAAAGCUCGUCGGGGUAAGGGUGAAAAGGCGAGGUAAGAGCUCACCGGUCGGGUGGUGACAUCCGACGCAUGGUAAACCUUACGGGCUGAAAGGUCAAAUAAGCACCGGAUAUGAAGCUGCUCGUUUCUGUCCCGUGGGAGCAAUCCCCGGGCGCCGGUGUGGGUAGACCGCAAGAUCUUCGUCGUGAGGCGAAGACCAGAUAAAUGAUAAGGGCCUGUGCCUCGUGCACGGGUACAGAAUCCGGCUUACAGGCUUGCUUCUUUU
rnacentral:RNase_P_RNA from 1 species